rnacentral:rRNA from 1 species
CCUACGGGAGGCAGCAGUGGGGGAUAUUGCACAAUGGGGGGAACCCUGAUGCAGCGACGCCGCGUGGGUGAAGAAGCGCCUCGGCGCGUAAAGCCCUGUCAGCAGGGAAGAAAAUGACGGUACCUGAAGAAGAAGCCCCGGCUAACUACGUGCCAGCAGCCGCGGUAAGACGGAGGGGGCAAGCGUUAUCCGGAUUUACUGGGGGUAAAGGGGGCGCAGACGGCGAUGCAAGCCAGGAGUGAAAGGCCGGGGACCAACCCCGGGAUUGCACGUGGAACUGGGUGGCUGGAGUGAAGGAGGGGCAGGGGGAAUUCCUGGGGUAGCGGUGAAAUGCGUAGAUAUCACGAAGAACCCCGAGUGCGAAGGCAGCCUGCUGGACUGUAACUGACGGUGAGGCCCGAAAGUGUGGGGAGCAAACAGGAUUAGAUACCCUGGUAGUC